AUUGAACGCUGGCGGCAGGCCUAACACAUGCAAGUCGAACGAGUGGCGGACGGGUGAGUAAUUUCUGGGAAACUGCCUGACGGAGGGGGAUAACUACUGGAACAGUUAGCUAAUACCGCAUACCAUCCUAUGGGCCCAGAUGGGAUUAGCUUGUGGGUGGGGUAACGGCUCACCAAGGCGACGAUCCCUAGCGGGUCUGAGAGGAUGACCAGCCACACUGGAACUGAGACACGGUCCAGACUCCUACGGGAGGCAGCAGUGGGGAAUAUUGCACAAUGGGCGAAAGCCUGAUGCAGCCAUGCCGCGUGUAUGAAGAAGGCCUUCGGGUUGUAAAGUACUUUCAGCGGGGAGGCGUUACCCGAAGAAGAAGCACCGGCUAACUCCGUGCCAGCAGCCGCGGUAAUUC
rnacentral:rRNA from 1 species